rnacentral:rRNA from 1 species
GGUUAAGCGACUAAGCGUACACGGUGGAUGCCCCGGCAGUCAGAGGCGAUGAAGGACGUGCUAAUCUGCGAUAAGCGUCGGUAAGGUGAUAUGAACCGUUAUAACCGGCGAUUUCCGAAUGGGGAAACCCAGUGUGUUUCGACACACUAUCAUUAACUGAAUCCAUAGGUUAAUGAGGCGAACCGGGGGAACUGAAACAUCUAAGUACCCCGAGGAAAAGAAAUCAACCGAGAUUCCCCCAGUAGCGGCGAGCGAACGGGGAGCAGCCCAGAGCCUGAAUCAGUGUGUGUGUUAGUGGAAGCGUCUGGAAAGGCGCGCGAUACAGGGUGACAGCCCCGUACACAAAAAUGCACAUGCUGUGAGCUCGAUGAGUAGGGCGGGACACGUGGUAUCCUGUCUGAAUAUGGGGGGACCAUCCUCCAAGGCUAAAUACUCCUGACUGACCGAUAGUGAACCAGUACCGUGAGGGAAAGGCGAAAAGAACCCCGGCGAGGGGAGUGAAAAAGAACCUGAAACCGUGUACGUACAAGCAGUGGGAGCACGCUUAGGCGUGUGACUGCGUACCUUUUGUAUAAUGGGUCAGCGACUUAUAUUCUGUAGCAAGGUUAACCGAAUAGGGGAGCCGAAGGGAAACCGAGUCUUAACUGGGCGUUAAGUUGCAGGGUAUAGACCCGAAACCCGGUGAUCUAGCCAUGGGCAGGUUGAAGGUUGGGUAACACUAACUGGAGGACCGAACCGACUAAUGUUGAAAAAUUAGCGGAUGACUUGUGGCUGGGGGUGAAAGGCCAAUCAAACCGGGAGAUAGCUGGUUCUCCCCGAAAGCUAUUUAGGUAGCGCCUCGUGAAUUCAUCUCCGGGGGUAGAGCACUGUUUCGGCAAGGGGGUCAUCCCGACUUACCAACCCGAUGCAAACUGCGAAUACCGGAGAAUGUUAUCACGGGAGACACACGGCGGGUGCUAACGUCCGUCGUGAAGAGGGAAACAACCCAGACCGCCAGCUAAGGUCCCAAAGUCAUGGUUAAGUGGGAAACGAUGUGGGAAGGCCCAGACAGCCGGGAUGUUGGCUUAGAAGCAGCCAUCAUUUAAAGAAAGCGUAAUAGCUCACUGGUCGAGUCGGCCUGCGCGGAAGAUGUAACGGGGCUAAACCAUGCACCGAAGCUGCGGCAGCGACACUAUGUGUUGUUGGGUAGGGGAGCGUUCUGUAAGCCUGUGAAGGUGUGCUGUGAGGCAUGCUGGAGGUAUCAGAAGUGCGAAUGCUGACAUAAGUAACGAUAAAGCGGGUGAAAAGCCCGCUCGCCGGAAGACCAAGGGUUCCUGUCCAACGUUAAUCGGGGCAGGGUGAGUCGACCCCUAAGGCGAGGCCGAAAGGCGUAGUCGAUGGGAAACAGGUUAAUAUUCCUGUACUUGGUGUUACUGCGAAGGGGGACGGAGAAGGCUAUGUUGGCCGGGCGACGGUUGUCCCGGUUUAAGCGUGUAGGCUGGUUUUCCGGGCAAAUCCGGAAAAUCAAGGCUGAGGCGUGAUGACGAGGCACUACGGUGCUGAAGCAACAAAUGCCCUGCUUCCGGGAAAAGCCUCUAAGCAUCAGGUAACAUCAAAUCGUACCCCAAACCGACACAGGUGGUCAGGUAGAGAAUACCAAGGCGCUUGAGAGAACUCGGGUGAAGGAACUAGGCAAAAUGGUGCCGUAACUUCGGGAGAAGGCACGCUGAUAUGUAGGUGAAGUCCCUUGCGGAUGGAGCUGAAAUCAGUCGAAGAUACCAGCUGGCUGCAACUGUUUAUUAAAAACACAGCACUGUGCAAACACGAAAGUGGACGUAUACGGUGUGACGCCUGCCCGGUGCCGGAAGGUUAAUUGAUGGGGUCAGCGCAAGCGAAGCUCUUGAUCGAAGCCCCGGUAAACGGCGGCCGUAACUAUAACGGUCCUAAGGUAGCGAAAUUCCUUGUCGGGUAAGUUCCGACCUGCACGAAUGGCGUAAUGAUGGCCGGGCUGUCUCCACCCGAGACUCAGUGAAAUUGAACUCGCUGUGAAGAUGCAGUGUACCCGCGGCAAGACGGAAAGACCCCGUGAACCUUUACUAUAGCUUGACACUGAACAUUGAGCCUUGAUGUGUAGGAUAGGUGGGAGGCUUGGAAGUGUGGACGCCAGUCUGCAUGGAGCCGACCUUGAAAUACCACCCUUUAAUGUUUGAUGUUCUAACGUUGACCCGUAAUCCGGGUUGCGGACAGUGUCUGGUGGGUAGUUUGACUGGGGCGGUCUCCUCCUAAAGAGUAACGGAGGAGCACGAAGGUUGGCUAAUCCUGGUCGGACAUCAGGAGGUUAGUGCAAUGGCAUAAGCCAGCUUGACUGCGAGCGUGACGGCGCGAGCAGGUGCGAAAGCAGGUCAUAGUGAUCCGGUGGUUCUGAAUGGAAGGGCCAUCGCUCAACGGAUAAAAGGUACUCCGGGGAUAACAGGCUGAUACCGCCCAAGAGUUCAUAUCGACGGCGGUGUUUGGCACCUCGAUGUCGGCUCAUCACAUCCUGGGGCUGAAGUAGGUCCCAAGGGUAUGGCUGUUCGCCAUUUAAAGUGGUACGCGAGCUGGGUUUAGAACGUCGUGAGACAGUUCGGUCCCUAUCUGCCGUGGGCGCUGGAGAACUGAGGGGGGCUGCUCCUAGUACGAGAGGACCGGAGUGGACGCAUCACUGGUGUUCGGGUUGUCAUGCCAAUGGCACUGCCCGGUAGCUAAAUGCGGAAGAGAUAAGUGCUGAAAGCAUCUAAGCACGAAACUUGCCCCGAGAUGAGUUCUCCCUGACCCUUUAAGGGUCCUGAAGGAACGUUGAAGACGACGACGUUGAUAGGCCGGGUGUGUAAGCGCAGCGAUGCGUUGAGCUAACCGGUACUAAUGAACCGUGAGGCUUAACCUU